rnacentral:rRNA from 1 species
UACGAAGGGGGCUAGCGUUGCUCGGAAUCACUGGGCGUAAAGGGUGCGUAGGCGGGUCUUUAAGUCAGGGUGAAAUCCUGGAGCUCAACUCCAGAACUGCCUUUGAUACUGGCGAUCUCGAGUCCGGGAGAGGUGAGUGGAACUGCGAGUGUAGAGGUGAAAUUCGUAGAUAUUCGCAAGAACACCAGUGGCGAAGGCGGCUCACUGGCCCGGUACUGGACGCUGAGGUGCGAAAAGCGUGGGGAGCAAACAGGG